GAGGGUACAGCUCAGUGGCAGAGCACGUGCUUAGCAUGCACGAGGUCCUGGGUUCCAUCCCCGUACCUCCA
rnacentral:tRNA from 1 species